UACGUAGGGUGCGAGCGUUAAUCGGAAUUACUGGGCGUAAAGUGUGCGCAGGCGGCCGCGCAAGUCGAGUGUGAAAGCCCCGGGCUUAACUUGGGAAUUGCGCUCGAAACUACGUGGCUGGAGUGUGGCAGAGGAAGGUGGAAUUCCAGGUGUAGCGGUGAAAUGCGUAGAGAUCUGGAGGAACACCGAUGGCGAAGGCAGCCUCCUGGGCCAACACUGACGCUCAUGCACGAAAGCGUGGGGAGCAAACAGG
rnacentral:rRNA from 1 species